GCUGAAGGUUGGUACUUGUACCGACUGGAUGAGCACCUCAUAUUUUUUGAGUAACGCGUGGGGAAUCUGCCUUUGAGCGGGGGACUAUAUUUGGAAACGAAUGCUAAUACCGCAUAAAAACUUUAAACACAAGUUUUAAGUUUGAAAGAUGCAAUUGCAUCACUCAAAGAUGAUCCCGCGUUGUAUUAGCUAGUUGGGGAGGGAAAGGCUCACCAAGGCGAUGAUACAUAGCCGACCUGAGAGGGUGAUCGGCCACAUUGGGACUGACACACGGCCCAAACUCCUACGGGAGGCAGCAGUAAGGAAUCUUCGGCAAUGGACGAAAGUCUGACCGAGCAACGCCGCGUGAGUGAAGAAGGUUUUCGGAUCGUAAAACUCUGUUGGUAUAAAAGAACGUUGGUGAGAGUGGAAAGCUCAUCAAGUGACGGUAACUACCCAGAAAGGGACGGCUAACUA
rnacentral:rRNA from 1 species